UCUUGGUCAUUUAGAGGAAGUAAAAGUCGUAACAAGGUCUCCGUAGGUGAACCUGCGGAGGGAUCAUUACCGAGUUAGGGUCUCACCGGCCCGAUCUCCCAACCCUUUGUCUACUUGACCAUCGUUGCUUCGGCGAGCCCGUCCUCACGGACCGCCGGGGGGUCUUUGUACCCCUUGGCCCGCGCUCGUCGACAGCCCCCAAAUUUAAAAAAUCUUAACUAAACGUGUCUUGAAUCUAAGUAUUAUUGUUAAAUAAAAACAAAACUUUCAACAACGGAUCUCUUGGUUCUGGCAUCGAUGAAGAACGCAGCGAAAUGCGAUAAGUAAUGCGAAUUGCAGAAUUCCAGUGAGUCAUCGAAUCUUUGAACGCACAUUGCGCCCUUUGGUAUUCCGAAGGGCAUGCCUGUUCGAGCGUCAUCAUCACCCCUCAAGCCCUCGGCUUGGUGUUGGACGGCUUGGUGGAGACCCCCUUUGCGGGCUUCUACCCCUCCCAAAGACAAUGACGGCGGCCUCGUUGGACCCCCGGUACACUGAGUUCUUCACGGGACACGUAUCGGACACAUGGGUUCACGGGGCACGGUCUGCCUCCCCUCAGGGAGAAUCUUUUUUUAUCAAGGUUGACCUCGGAUCAGGUAGGGAUACCCGCUGAACUUAAGCAUAUCAAUAAGCGGAGGA
rnacentral:rRNA from 1 species